rnacentral:rRNA from 1 species
CUUAGCAGAGAUGCUUUGGUGACCUUCGGGAACUCUGAGACAGGUGCUGCAUGGCUGUCGUCAGCUCGUGUUGUGAAAUGUUGGGUUAAGUCCCGCAACGAGCGCAACCCUUAUCCUUUGUUGCCAGCGGUCCGGCCGGGAACUCAAAGGAGACUGCCAGUGAUAAACUGGAGGAAGGUGGGGAUGACGUCAAGUCAUCAUGGCCCUUACGAGUAGGGCUACACACGUGCUACAAUGGCGCAUACAAAGAGAAGCGACCUCGCGAGAGCAAGCGGACCUCAUAAAGUGCGUCGUAGUCCGGAUUGGAGUCUGCAACUCGACUCCAUGAAGUCGGAAUCGCUAGUAAUCGUGGAUCAGAAUGCCACGGUGAAUACGUUCCCGGGCCUUGUACACACCGCCCGUCACACCAUGGGAGUGGGUUGCAAAAGAAGUAGGUAGCUUAACCUUCGGGAGGGCGCUUACCACUUUGUGAUUCAUGACUGGGGUGAAGUCGUAACAAGGUAGGCGUAGUGCU